rnacentral:lncRNA from 1 species
AAUACAAAAAAAUUAGCCAGACAUGGUGGUGCAUGCCUGUAGUCCCAGCUACUGAGUAGGCUGAAUCACUGGAAGUGGGAGAAUCACUUGAGCCCAGGAGGUGGAGAUUGCAGUUAGCCAUGAUCACACCACUGCACUCUAGCCUGGAUGACAGAGUGAGACCCUGUCUUAAAAAAGAAAAAAAAAAGAUAUUUGCAAGCCACAUAUCCAACACAGAAGUUGUAGCUGAAAAAUACAAAGAACUCUCAAAACUCAAAAUAAAAAAGCAAGCAAUCCAAUUAGAAAAUAGGCAAAAGUUAUGAAGAGACAUUUCACCCAAAGGAAUAUACAGAUAGCAUCAAAUAAGCACACAAAAAGCCAUUCAACAUCAUUAGCUAUUAGGAAACCACACAUUUAAAUUUAAAUGAAAUAUCACUAUGUACUAUCAGAAUGCCUAAAAUAAAAAAUGACAUCACCAAAUGCGGGCAAGGAUGUUACAGCCCAGUGGAUUCUUCUUGCCUGUUGCAAAGAAAAAGCCAAUAUACACUGAGACAGAAGGUGUUGCAACAAAGAAACAGUUUAAUAAUUGCAAGGCAGCUGAGCAAGAAAAUGGGAGAUAUUUCUUAAAUCUGCCUCCAAGAAUUUGGAGGAUAGGGUUUUUAAGGACAGUUUGGUGGGCAGCAGUUAGGAAACGGCUAUUACUGAUUGGUUGAGUCAGGGAUGAAAUCACAGGUGUGUCAAAACUGUCUUCCAGUGCUGAGUCAAUUGCUAGGUGGGUGGGGUCACAGUGUGUCCAGAAUUGGUGAGUUCUUGAUCUCACUGACUUCAAGAAUGAAGCCACAGACCCUUGUGGUGAGUGUUACAGCUCUUAAGGUGGCACAUCUGGAGUGUGUCCCUUCUGAUGUUCAGAUGUGUUCCCAGUUUCUUCCUUCUGGUGGGUUCAUGGUCUUGCUGGCUCAGGAGUGAAGCUGCAAACCUUUGCGGAGUUACAACUCUUAAGACAGCGUGACUGGAGUUGUUCAUUCCUUCCCGUGGGCUCGUGCUCUCACUGGGCUCAGGAGUUAAGCUGCAGAUCCUCACGGUGAGUUUUACCGCUCAUAAAAGCAACAUGGACCCAAACAGUGAGCAGUACCAAGAGCAAAAGAACAAACCUUCCACACCCUAGAAGAGGACCCGAGCAGGUUGCCAAUGCUCGCUGGGGCAGCCUGCUUUUAUUCUCUUAUCUGGCCCCACCCACAUCCUGCUGAUUGGUAGAGCCCAGUGGCCUGUUUUGUCAGGGCACUGAUUGGUGCGUUUACAAUCCCUGAGCUAGAUACAAAGGUUCUCCACGUCCCCAUCAGAUUAGUUAGAUACAGAGUUUGGACACACAGGUUCUCCAAGGCCCCACCAGAGCAGCUAGAUACAGAGUGUCGAUUGGUGCAUUCACAAACCUUGAGCUAAACACAGGGUGCUGAUUGGUGUGUUUACAAACCUUGAGCUAGAUACAGAGUGCCG